rnacentral:rRNA from 1 species
GGACCCGCACAAGCGGUGGAGCAUGUGGUUUAAUUCGAAGCAACGCGAAGAACCUUACCUAAACUUGACAUCCCGAUGAAAAGCUAUGUAAUGUAGCUCCCUCUUCGGAGCAUCGGUGACAGGUGGUGCAUGGUUGUCGUCAGCUCGUGUCGUGAGAUGUUGGGUUAAGUCCCGCAACGAGCGCAACCCUUAUCGUCAGUAGCCAUCAGUUCGGCUGGGCACUCUGAUGAGACUGCCGUGGAUAACACGGAGGAAGGUGGGGAUGACGUCAAAUCAUCAUGCCCCUUAUGUUUAGGGCUACACACGUGCUACAAUGGCAGUUACAAAGUGAGGCAAAGCUGUGAAGCGGAGCAAAGCACAAAAAAGCUGCCCCAGUUCGGAUUGUAGUCUGCAACUCGACUACAUGAAGUUGGAAUCGCUAGUAAUCGCGAAUCAGAAUGUCGCGGUGAAUACGUUCCCGGGUCUU